UCCGAGACUGCUGGUCACCAGGAGCCUAAUGGAUUCCUCCCUAUCUGCUCCUAGGAGGCGGGGCUUGGAAGUGUUCCUUCCGGGUCGGAAGGAGUCGAGCUGGUGGCUGCUGAUGAGAUUAUAGAGUCCUGCAGCUCUCUGUGUAGACCAGGCUUGCCACAAACUCAUGUACCCAAGGUUAGCUUUGAAUUCCAACCCAUUCUCCACCUCCCAAAUGCCAGGAUUACAGUCAAGUGCCCCAAUGCCCAUCUCAUUGGCUGUAAGAAUAAAGGAAGUUAAAUAUCAGA